UGCCUGCUAAUUUAUUAUGUUGGCCUACAAAGUCAGAGGCAGAUGUUGGUGGUAUGGCAGUACAGUUUGAACCUUCCCACCAAUAUUCUGUCAUAUUUUGUUGCUGUGCAACUCGUGGCAGCAAAGGGGCACUCUGUCUGAAUUGCAUCUGACAUGGAAGUACGUAUAAAGCAAAAACUGAAUUCCUCCAUGUGAAAACAAGGGCGUCCACUGACAUUCAUCGAUGCUUGCUGAGCAUUUAUAGAGACCAACCAGAGGUUGUGAGCACGGUGAGGCGGCGGUGUUCCGUUCCAGCAGCGAUGUGUGAGCGGCGCCCCCACCGGGAACAGGCGGCCAACCUGUUGCGUCUGCUGCCACCUAGCGGCAGUGCCGCACACUGCAGCUCUGUCCCGACUUCCCUGACAACUCGUACAGCAAACAUUCAGAUCUGGUCUCAAGAGUGGGAACUCUGCAAUACGUCAGUUCAUAUUCUUUCUUUCUUUCUUUCUUUUCCUUCUUUCUUUUUCUUUCUUUCUUUUCCUUUCUUUCUUUCCUUCUUUCCUUCCUUCCUUCUUUCCAUCCUUCCUCCUUUCUUUCCUUCCUUCUUUUUUUCCAUUCUUCCUUCCUUCUUUCCUUCCUUUUUUUCUUAUUUUCUUUCCUUCAUUCUUUUUUUCCUUCCUCCAUUCUUUCAUUUUUUCCCCUUUCCUUCUUUCCUUCCUUGCUUCUUUCCUUCCUUCUUCCUUCUUUCAUUCCUUCUUUCUUCCUUUCUUCUCCUUCUUUCCUUCCUUCCUUCUUUUCAUUCUUCUUUCCUUCCUUCUUUCUUUCCAUUCUUCCUUCCUUCUUUCCUUCCUUUUUCUCUUAUUUUCUUUCCUUCAUUCUUUUUUUCCUUCCUCCAUUCUUUCAUUUUUUCCCCUUUCCUUCUUUCCUUCCUUGCUUCUUUCCUUCCUUCUUCCUUCUUUCAUUCCUUCUUUCUUCCUUUCUUCUCCUUCUUUCCUUCCUUCCUUCUUUUCAUUCUUCUUUCCUUCCUUCUUUCUUUCCAUUCUUCCUUCCUUCUUUCCUUCCUUUUUCUCUUAUUUUCUUUCCUUCAUUCUUUUUUUCCUUCCUCCAUUCUUUCAUUUUUUCCCUCUUUCCUUCUUUCCUUCCUUGCUUCUUUCCUUCCUUCUUCCUUCUUUCAUUCCUUCUUUCUUCCUUUCUUUUCCUUCUUUCUUUCCUUCCUUCUUUCCAUUCUUCUUUCCUUCCUUCUUUCCUUUCUUCUUUCCUUCAUUCUUCCUUUGUUCUUUCUUUCCUUCUUCCCUCUUCCUUCUUUCCUUCUUCCCUCUUCUUCCUUCUUUCCUUCAUUUUUUCCUUCAUUCUUUCCUUCCUUCUUUCUUUCCAUCCUUUUUCUCCCCUUUUUCUCUCCUUUCAGUGGUCGCCCCAUCAGCAUCCUGCCAAACUCCCCCAGAUUACAAAGGGAUCUGUUCAGCACGAGCAGCUCCCAAUCACAUUACAAAGCGCCCAAUUUAGAAAUAACAGCAUCAGACUGUGCCUUGCAAUGUGGCUGAAGGCAACAUAAAUG
rnacentral:lncRNA from 1 species